UAAGAGGCUUUUAUAAAAGCCAUAUCCAAAUGUAUUGAAUUAAUAU
rfam:Physcomitrella patens subsp. patens PHYPAscaffold_25 genomic scaffold, whole genome shotgun sequence.